rnacentral:rRNA from 1 species
UACGGAGGGUGCAAGCGUUAAUCGGAAUUACUGGGCGUAAAGCAUGCGUAGGCGGUUCGUUAAGUCUGUUGUGAAAGCCCCGGGCUCAACCUGGGAAUGGCAAUGGAUACUGGCGAGCUAGAAGUGUGUCAGAGGAUGGUGGAAUUCCCGGUGUAGCGGUGAAAUGCGUAGAGAUCGGGAGGAACAUCAGUGGCGAAGGCGGCCAUCUGGGACACACUGAACGCGUGAGGC